rnacentral:rRNA from 1 species
AGUGAACGCUGGCGGUAGGCCUAACACAUGCCAGUCGAACGGCAGCACAGUAAGAGCUUGCUCUUACGGGUGGCGAGUGGCGGACGGGUGAGGAAUACAUCGGAAUCUACUUUUUCGUGGGGGAUAACGUAGGGAAACUUACACUAAUACCGCAUACGACCUACGGGUGAAAGCAGGGGAUCUUCGGACCUUGCGCGAUUGAAUGAGCCGAUGUCGGAUUAGCUAGUUGGCGGGGUAAAGGCCCACCAAGGCGACGAUCCGUAGCUGGUCUGAGAGGAUGAUCAGCCACACUGGAACUGAGACACGGUCCAGACUCCUACGGGAGGCAGCAGUGGGGAAUAUUGGACAAUGGGCGCAAGCCUGAUCCAGCCAUACCGCGUGGGUGAAGAAGGCCUUCGGGUUGUAAAGCCCUUUUGUUGGGAAAGAAAAGCAGCAGGUUAAUACCCCGCUGUUCUGACGGUACCCAAGGAAUAAGCACCGGCUAACUUCGUG